rnacentral:rRNA from 1 species
GACGAACGCUGGCGGCGUGCUUAACACAUGCAAGUCGAACGGAAAGGCCCUGCUUUUGUGGGGUGCUCGAGUGGCGAACGGGUGAGUAACACGUGAGUAACCUGCCCUUGACUUUGGGAUAACUUCAGGAAACUGGGGCUAAUACCGGAUAGGAGCUCCUGCUGCAUGGUGGGGGUUGGAAAGUUUCGGCGGUUGGGGAUGGACUCGCGGCUUAUCAGCUUGUUGGUGGGGUAGUGGCUUACCAAGGCUUUGACGGGUAGCCGGCCUGAGAGGGUGACCGGCCACAUUGGGACUGAGAUACGGCCCAGACUCCUACGGGAGGCAGCAGUGGGGAAUAUUGCACAAUGGGCGGAAGCCUGAUGCAGCAACGCCGCGUGCGGGAUGACGGCCUUCGGGUUGUAAACCGCUUUCGCCUGUGACGAAGCUUGAGUGACGGUAAUGGGUAAAGAAGCACCGGCUAACUACGUG